rnacentral:ncRNA from 2 species
GGCACGCAGUCGGGAGAAUCUGGCCCCGCGCCAGUGCCGAAGGAGCAACCGCCCCGGUAAACUCUCAGGCCCACGGACCGACCGCGUACA